ACUUAAACUUAAUCACAGCCUUUAAUGUAGAGGGAAUAGUUGCUGUGCUGUAAGUUAAUAUACCAUAUCUAUAUCACAGUGGCUGUUCUUUUUGUACCUAAAGUGCCUAACAUCAUUAUUUAA
rnacentral:pre_miRNA from 15 species